rnacentral:rRNA from 1 species
UACGUAGGGUGCAAGCGUUGUCCGGAAUUAUUGGGCGUAAAGAGCUCGUAGGCGGUUUGUCGCGUCUGCUGUGAAAACCCGAGGCUCAACCUCGGGCCUGCAGUGGGUACGGGCAGACUAGAGUGCGGUAGGGGAGAUUGGAAUUCCUGGUGUAGCGGUGGAAUGCGCAGAUAUCAGGAGGAACACCGGUGGCGAAGGCGGGUCUCUGGGCAGUAACUGACGCUGAGGAGCGAAAGCGUGGGGAGCGAACAGG